rnacentral:lncRNA from 1 species
GAGACUUUUAUCAGUAGGAAGAAUGCCCAUUUGGACUGGAAGGGAAAAACAGAGGUCAAAAUGCAAAGUGGGCAUUAGAUCACCAAAACUACAAGGCAGGAAAUAAACUGAGAAAACUGUUCAGGUGAAAUGAAUGGCAAAAUAACUCAAAGGUUGAAAUCAGGGGCACAGAGAGUAAAGCCAAAGUCAUCGAGAACUAUUCUCAACCCUGAAACCUAAUUAAGGAAGUUUCAAGAUCUGACUGCAUUUUAUAAUUGCUAUGGACCAGUGACUGUUUUUUUGACUUUCAUUUUCCUUCUUUUUGUGCAGGAUUUCUAUAGCAGAAAUGCUUUGACUGCCCCAUCACUGUUUGUUGAUGGUUUGGGGGACACAUAACCUCUUAAUUUUCACAAGUCUGCAGGAACUGUUCUUCAGGAGCUGCAGUUCUUAGCUUCACCCGAGGAGCCUCAUCUACAUCUGACCUUAUUUCCAUAUGAAAUUCUGGGUUUUGUUCAGGGCUCUUUCUCUGGGAAGCAAGCUGCCAUAUUGUCAGUACCCUUCUGGAAACACUCAUGUGGAGAGACUCUUACAUUUCUGGCCAACAACCAGCAUGAACCUAAGGCUGCCAACAGGCAUUAGAAUGAACUUGGAAGAGGAUCCUCACCAGUUGAGCCUCGAGAUGACUGGCAGCCUUGGCCAAUGCCUUAUUGCUUGUUAGAGUCCAUGAACCAAAAGCACCCAGCUAAACUGCACCCAGAUACUUGACUCACAGAAACUUUGAAAUAAUAAAUGUUAUUUUAGAGUGGAA